AUGUCUACUUGGAGGUUGUGCCCUUGAGGCGUGGCUUCCGGAGCUAACGCGUUAAGUAGACCGCCUGGGGAGUACGGCCGCAAGGUUAAAACUCAAAUGAAUUGACGGGGGCCCGCACAAGCGGUGGAGCAUGUGGUUUAAUUCGAUGCAACGCGAAGAACCUUACCUGGUCUUGACAUCCACAGAACUUUCCAGAGAUGGAUUGGUGCCUUCGGGAACUGUGAGACAGGUGCUGCAUGGCUGUCGUCAGCUCGUGUUGUGAAAUGUUGGGUUAAGUCCCGCAACGAGCGCAACCCUUAUCCUUUGUUGCCAGCGAUUAGGUCGGGAACUCAAAGGAGACUGCCAGUGAUAAACUGGAGGAAGGUGGGGAUGACGUCAAGUCAUCAUGGCCCUUACGACCAGGGCUACACACGUGCUACAAUGGCGCAUACAAAGAGAAGCGACCUCGCGAGAGCAAGCGGACCUCAUAAAGUGCGUCGUAGUCCGGAUUGGAGUCUGCAACUCGACUCCAUGAAGUCGGAAUCGCUAGUAAUCGUGGAUCAGAAUGCCACGGUGAAUACGUUCCCGGGCCUUGUACACACCGCCCGUCACACCAUGGGAGUGGGUUGCAAAAGAAGUAGGUAGCUUAACCUUCGGGAGGGCGCUUACCACUUUGUGAUUCAUGACUGGGGUGAAGUCGUAACAAGGUAACCGUAGGGGAACCUGCGGUUGGA
rnacentral:rRNA from 1 species